ensembl:lncRNA
GGCCGCGCCGGCCCCGCCCUCAGCAUGGACGGCUACCGCCGCAGCUCGGCCGCCGGCCUGCGGCGGCAGCGCCUCAACUCCGCCCACAGCGUGGACGCCUACCGGCCCAACGCGGCGGGGGCGGCGGCGGCGGCGGCGGCUCGGACCGGCCCAAGCUCACCUCCGCCCACAGCAUCGACGGCUACAGACUGAGCCCGUGUGGCUCCGCCCACGGGAUCAACCGGCCGGCCACGCCCUCCUCCUCUAGCCCCGCCCACGACGCCAGCAGGCGCUCCUCCUCCCGCUGGCUGAGCCCCGAGGACAGUCUGGACCGGACCCGGCUAAGCCCCUCCUACGUCCCCGAAGGCUCCGCCCCUCAGAGGCCCUCGCCGUUCCGCGCUGCAGGCAGACUGCGGAGACAGGAGGCCAUUCGCUGUGACUCCCUGGACCAGGGCGGGGGUCUGGCCGACGAGGACCUCCAGCGCUCCCAGCCGGCCGCGGCCCCCCCGCCUCCCGACCCGGACCCGGACCCCGGCAGCAGCCCGUCCCGCCGCCGCUGCUCCAGCGUGCACACGCUGAAGCACGCCGCGCCCCAGAGGGUGAUCGCCAGCCGGGGGUACAGCCGGCGCCACAGCGCGGCCGCCCCGGAGCCAGGCUGCCCCCACUCAGAGAGCGACCCCCAGACCCCCCGCAGCGGCUGCAGCCUCCAGGUCCCCGUCCCGGAGUCGGCCCCCAGGCCCGGACCCCCGGAGCCCAGCGGGGGGGCCCAGCCCGACGCCGCUGACGAGGAGGUGAACCGCAUCAACAGCUCGGUCGGCGGCGCCCACGCACACACACACGCCCACGCCCACGCGCACGCACACUCGCACACGCACACACAGCUGUCCCCCGGCCCCUCGCACCAAAGCAGACGUCUCUCGCCCGGCCCCCCCGGGGGGGAGCACAGGGGGGGUCAUCUCGGCCAAUCAGUGUCUCCGGUUUCAGGGCGGAACAUAAAGCAGAGAAUGAGCCCGCCCCCGGGGGAGGAGCCCGUCUCCGGGACGACGCAGCUGAUGGACAGCAGCGUCGAGCUGCGGCGGAGGACCCUCUCGUUUGACUCCACCUGCCUCACGCCCCACCUGCAAGAGGGCGGGUCGGUAGAGGACUGAGGGACGAGGAGGGGAACGUUGGGCGAACGGGAAGGAGGAUGGCUGAGUGCUCACGGACACGGGGACGAGAGACACAUGCUCGCGUCUCGAGGAAGGACCUUUGUGUGACGCCGAGCCCGUAGCAAAUCAUCACCCACAUCGAAUUACAGGGUCACUAUCUGUGCUAACAGAUACAGAGCUCAUGUGAGUGUGUGUGGGCGAGAGUGUGUGUUUGAGUGACUGUGUGUGUGUGUGUGUGUGUGUGUGUGUGUGUGUGUGUGUGUGUGUGUG